GGUUUCGCCAAUGUUAAGGGUUUCCUUGAAGCCAACUUAUGAAAAGUUUUGAGAAUAUUUUGUUUUCACUUUCUUGGAUAUAUGUGGAUUGAUAACCCUAAUUGUGAGAUAGGUGCUGAAAAUUAAGGUGAUAAUUUAGGAGUUUUCUAUUCUUAAGUUACCAUUAGGAUAUUUAUUUUGGGUAAUGAUAUUUCCAUAACAACCAUUUUUAUUACCAAAGCAUAAUUUUUUUAUUGGGACAAAAUUACCUUUUCCCCGCAUUGUUUAUUUUCCAACUAAUAGAAAGACCCCCUAGGAAAAUCCAUGCCAUUAGGAGUAGAUGUAGUAAUGUUUUCUCUACUGCUAAUUACCCUUUCACUCCAUCCCUAAAGGUCAUUGAGCCAAUUUUCUUCUCAUUAGGUAAUUUAACAAUCAAUAAAAUGAAAGAGAUGUUGAGUCAUGAGUCAAAUUAGUCGGAGUGAAGUUAAUUGUUCACCAAGGAGGGGCUGAAUGUUU
rnacentral:misc_RNA from 1 species